rnacentral:rRNA from 1 species
CUGGCGGCGUGCCUAAUACAUGCAAGUCGAACGCACUCUCGUUUAGAUUGAAGGAGCUUGCUCCUGAUUGAUAAGCAUUUGAGUGAGUGGCGGACGGGUGAGUAACACGUGGGUAACCUGCCCUAAAGUGGGGGAUAACAUUUGGAAACAGGUGCUAAUACCGCAUAAAACCUAGCACCGCAUGGUGCAGGGUUGAAAGAUGGUUUCGGCUAUCACUUAGGAUGGACCCGCGGUGCAUUAGUUAGUUGGUGAGGUAAAGGCUCACCAAGACCGUGAUGCAUAGCCGACCUGAGAGGGUAAUCGGCCACACUGGGACUGAGACACGGCCCAGACUCCUACGGGAGGCAGCAGUAGGGAAUCUUCCACAAUGGACGAAAGUCUGAUGGGGCAACGCCGCGUGAGUGAAGAAGGUUUUCGGAUCGUAAAACUCUGUUGUUGGAGAAGAAUGUAUCUGAUAGUAACUGAUCAGGUAGUGACGGUAUCCAACCAGAAAGCCACGGCUAACUACGUG